CCACCGCCGCCGCAACCACCGAAACCACAUCCGCCUCCUCCGCUUGGUGCUCCGUAGCUCGACGAUGGUCCGCCACCACCUCCACCACCUAGAUUGGGUGUUCCAUAACUAGUAGACGGAGGCAGAUAACUACCAAGUCAUACUAACUCGCAACGAUCUCGAUUUCUCGAGUAUGGAUGGGAACGACAUCGUUGAGACAUGCUUAGAGAGACGCGCUUUGUCGGCCUUGAUGUCAUCCUGGAUAGAAGAUCGCUCGAGAAAGAUCAUCAUGACGUGAAGAAAAGAUCGUACCUUCCCUCGCGGAUCUUAUGCUCACGUUGCUUAGUUUUCGUCACAUCAUAUAUACCUCUAUCUCACUUUCUCCUUCUCUCAUCUUCUUCGACGAGGGAAUUGCUUCAUUUCGACGUCGGGCUAAUUGAUUAAAGGGAUUAUAUGCCGCGAAGAAGCUACGAGGCGUCACGGAUCUAUCUAUCCUGCCGACCGAUUUUCUCACUCAAGAGGAACAAAUGUGGUAAGAGUGAGUGAGUGAAAAAGAGAGAAAGAGAAGGAGAAAGACGGAGAAAGAUGAUUUUGUUUCGUAAGUCUCGUUUCGUUUCUUCCUUCAACUUCUGCGCUUGCCCUUCCU